rnacentral:misc_RNA from 1 species
AGAUAAGGCUAGAUAUUGCUAUUAACAACAUUAGAAAUCGCAUUGUUGCUGUGGCCAAGGAACGCAUGUGAAAGAAAGAAGAGAAAGGAAAAGAAAAGAGAAGCAAACAUUCGAUUGAAUCAAAGUCCACCACAAACAGCAUAAGAGAAGAGAAACAAGAUGAUGCACGGGUAGAGAUGCACGACAACGAACGAUAUCUGGGGGUGAGGUAAGAGGCAGUCAGGCAGAGGAUUUCGGCAAGGAUUUGAGUAGAAAGGAAAAUGAUAGAAAAAGAGCAGCUGGGGCUAGGUGGGUACUGAGUAGCAGAAGAAAUUAGGGAUUAGGGAAUAUGAGUGUUAGACUUAGGUAUAUAUAUCAACUCUACAUAAAACGGUGUUUUUGUUCGGUUCAGUACGGUUCAACCAAAUUUUUUCUCUCCAAAAUCGAACCCAACCGAAAUAACCGAAAUUCUUUAAAAUUAAAACCAAACCAAACCGAAUUACCGAAUUAAGGCG